CGAAUGAGUUUUCUUGAACAUUUAGUUUGUCUUCAAAGCUCUUAUACUUUUGUAUACCUUGUUUGGGAAAUUCUAUUUCAGAUAUACAAUUUCAAUUAAAUUUUGUAUCUUCAUAAUAAUGUUUUUUAAAAACUGUGAUUUGCUUGGAUAUGUUAUCAAUUAAACGCAUAAGGGUGACUUAAGGAGUUAGGUUAAGUUGGGUUAUAGGCUAAUAUUCAUGACACCAAAAAUAAUCCCACUUGGACUGCCACUUACGCUUAUCCAUUGUGAUGUCCAGAACUCUUAAGUACAGAUUUGAAAGAUCGACGUAUAUCUACAAAGCGCAUAGAGCCAACCACAAAUUUAUUGAGCUGACUAAUAUCUACUCCAUCUAAUUUGCCGGUUGUUCCAACUUUAGUCUGGCGAAAGCUGGGCAGGGAAGGAGAAAUUGUUUAGAUAUUUCCACCUCAUUUUCCUUCCUUAGAUCCAACGCUCUUGUGUGCGCAAACAGGGGAACCCCUGAUCAUUCCUAUUUCAAGGGGAUUUGAAUCGGAAAUUUGAUUGUAUCGAGCUCAUCUGCUUUACAGUUUCCAAAUAUUCCGCUGUGGCACCCAGACAAGUUUAAUAUGGAAAUAGCUUGAUGACUUAACUAAAGAGGCCUUUGACUAGCUGGCAGCACGUAAGAAGACUGGUUAACAGGUCUCGAUAGAAGUCUAAAACCGAAGUAACUAACCUGAAUGCUACCCUAUGUGCGUUUAUAUAAUUACAUAUAUACACAGAGUUUAUGCUGAAGUCGAGGAGGCUUUCCCUUUAAAGCACGCCUUUGUUUAUUCAUUUCAAAUAUUGCUCACACAUCGCUCAAAAAAACUCGCUUUUAUGUAUGUGGUUUCAAUGAGACCUUCAAAUGUUCAAAUGGUGAUAAGCAACUGCAGUUUAUUCGCAUGUAAACAACUCGUAGAAGUGGCGAGAAUUAGUCCAAUUUCAAAAAGGCGUCUGUGGAGAACGUUUUUCACACAGCAGUAAGGUAAUGUCAAUCAUUGGUACAGAAAUGGAUUUUGAGUCUAUAAUUUGGUUUACUCUACUGCUAACUUUAAUGGUGCUUGCAAUAUUCGCCUAUUGGUAUUGGUAUAUAUGGCGACCAAAUGAAGUCGUACGCAAUGUGAUACGAAAAUCAACAGCGCAGUGUGAUGAUAACGAAGGAGUAUACAACGAAUUAUUGUGCGAUUGAAGUUUUUUUCAUUAAAGUUAAUAACUUAUAAGACAUAUUAGUAAGGCUUCUGACGAAAAAGCAUUUUCUUUUUUCACUUUAUGCUUUACCAUAUAAUAAAACAAAGAAAACAAGAAAAA
rnacentral:lncRNA from 1 species